CCUACGGGUGGCAGCAGUGGGGAAUAUUGGACAAUGGGGGGAACCCUGAUCCAGCGACGCCGCGUGAGUGAAGAAGUAUUUCGGUAUGUAAAGCUCUAUCAGCAGGGGAGAAAGAAAUGACGGUACCUGACUAAGAAGCCCCGGCUAACUACGUGCCAGCAGCCGCGGUAAUACGUAGGGGGCAAGCGUUAUCCGGAUUUACUGGGUGUAAAGGGAGCGUAGACGGUUACGCAAGGCUGGAGUGAAAGGCGGGGGCCCAACCCCCGGACUGGUUUGGAAACUGUAUAACGUGAGUGCAGGAGAGGUAAGUGGAAUUCCUAGUGUAGCGGUGAAAUGCGUAGAUAUUAGGAGGAACACCAGUGGCGAAGGCGGCUUACUGGACUGUAACUGACGUUGAGGCUCGAAAGCGUGGGUAGCAAACAGGAUUAGAUACCCUAGUAGUC
rnacentral:rRNA from 1 species